GUGCUAGCUUCAACAGCACAUAUACUAAAAUUGGAACGAUACAGGGAAGAUUUGCAUGGCCCCUGGGCAGAGAUGACACGCAGAUUCGUGAAGCAUUUCAUAUUUUU
ensembl:snRNA U6 U6 spliceosomal RNA